rnacentral:rRNA from 1 species
CCCUUAGAUGUUCUGGGCGGCCCGCGCACUACACUGGCACUCUCAAUCAGAGCCUGGAUCUAACACUUUGGGGUAUUCUAUGAAGUGGUGUCGUGACUGGGAUUAACCCUUGCAAUUAUUGGUUACGAACGAGGAAUUCCUUGUAAUCGCGGUUUAUCAGCCCGCGUUGAAUGCGUCCCUGCCCCUUGUACACACCGCCCGUCGCUCCUACCGAUGGAUCGUCCGGUGAAGCUCAUGGAGGGGCGGUUGUCUCAGCUGCCGUCGAAGUGAAAUGGACCUCACGAUCUAGAGGAAGGAGAAGUCGUAACA